rnacentral:rRNA from 1 species
ACGGAAGGCAGCAGUGGGGAAUAUUGGACAGUGGGGGAAACCCUGAUCCAGCGACGCCGCGUGAGUGAAGAAGUAUUUCGGUAUGUAAAGCUCUAUCAGCAGGGAAGAUAAUGACGGUACCUGACUAAGAAGCCCCGGCUAACUACGUGCCAGCAGCCGCGGUAAUACGUAGGGGGCAAGCGUUAUCCGGAUUUACUGGGUGUAAAGGGAGCGUAGACGGCAUGGCAAGUCUGAUGUGAAAACCCGGGGCUCAACCCCGGGACUGCAUUGGAAACUGUCAGGCUUGAGUGCAGGAGAGGUAAGUGGAAUUCCUAGUGUAGCGGUGAAAUGCGUAGAUAUUAGGAGGAACACCAGUGGCGAAGGCGGCUUACUGGACUGUAACUGACGUUGAGGCUCGAAAGCGUGGGGAGCGAACAGGAUUAGAUACCCUGGUA